ACAACUGCAAUGGGAACCACUAUCACGAUGAUGACGACAACAGUUGCAAUGACCCCGAGCACAGCUUUUGAAGCGGUCUAAAAUACAAAGAAUCCAAAGGACAAGUUAGAAGCCUCGUGAUAAACCUACACUCCUUUAUUCCACAAGUGUUAAACUCUUAAAACCUCCGCCCAACCACUAGAAUUAGAAUGGAAUUCCGGUUUCGCAAAUCCACCCCAAAAGGAAACACUUAAGUAAUUUCUAUGAGAUGCAUCCAACGAACUCAAAUUACUGGCUGAAACUAUAUUAAGCAGCCUUUCGUAAUGUGAGUAUCGGCGCUUCAUUAAAAGUAUCAGAAGAAUAAAUAUACCGACAGCGAAAUACCGAAUCCAAACUAGUAAUAGCUCUGGAGGGACAGAAGAUACAACAUUUAAGGCAUAGAAAAACGGAAUGAAUUAUUACUAGAAUAGUGCGUGAAGAUAAACAGGCCAGCCUUCAUGCCUUUAAGUGAUGACAUGUCGUUUCCACCCAUCUCUUUGAUUUAGGAGGUUCCCUAUUAAAUCAAUGAACCAUACAGCCAACGAGCUAUUUUGCCAGAACACUCUUCAGAACUAGCAAGGACCACAUAAUCUGUAGAUAGUUGGUGCUUUUCUCUAUGUUGUUUGGUCAAAGUAAAGCAGAUGGAUUUUAACGAUUUUGCUUAUAGAGGAAAAUUCUCCCUGGCCGCAAUCGGCAACACACUUCUUAUGACCAUGUUUAAAGUAACACUACACAAUAUGUUACAUGAUGGCAUCAUUUUUAAUAUAUGAAAAACUGGGCUGGCUUUCAUAUUGUAUUUUUGAAUAAUGUCAAUUGAAAGAAUUUUAAUCAGAUCAAUGUAAUGUAUUGCUACCCUAGACCAGCUAUGUUGUUGGACAAUUCUGUUUCCCUGAAGAAAAUAAAUUGAAAAGUAUAAUGUU